UUUCCAUUCAUUGUGUAUGCAACCCUAAACAUGCUGCUGAUGGAACCAUGGUCUGGAAUCGAUUAAAACAGGUUAGCAAGAGAUGGAGCAGAACCAGGAAUUGCUGCGCUUUUUGAGAGAUCGAGGGUUUGAUGAGGAUCUCGUACAGACCUUCAUCAAUGAAAAGAUUUACUGCAGUGCUGUCAAGGUCAUGAUGGAUGCUGAACUCGCAAAAUACGUGCCCGGAUUUGGUGAUCGUAUUGCCAUAAGGCAGUACUGCAAAAGAGAAGUGGCUGCUCUCCAUGGAUCCAGUGUGUUCAAAGCUGCAGAUCCGUUUUUUAAUUGUUCCAUAAGCCUAAAGAAAAGUCAUAAGUAGCCUGCAAAACCUUGCGGAAACUCCAACGCUAAGACAACAGAACGUACUUUCCAAAUUGGAUGGCUGGAACAAGUUGGAGUCGACUCAUUCUGCCAAGUUAGAGAGAAAAAGGUGGUGGGACAAGACAAUUAAAGGCACCAAAGACGGUCACUAAGGCACUUUUAUUUCCAAAUGGAAAAAGAAAACUCAAUGAUUUGGAAUUUAACAUGCGAGACUUUACUAAGGGAGCGCUAGACCCAUCUACUUCAUUGGUCGAACAAUACGAACUCAGAAAAGAAAACAGUUUAAAUCUAUAUCUUUCCCGCAGAUUAAACUUUCAUGGCAGCUGCCUCCAUCUCCAAAGAGAAGAAUAACAGAACCAAGUACAGCAGAAUCAAAUGUUGUUACAUGCGCCGAAUACAACAGGUGUAGUAGACCUUAGCAUGAAAUGCUUACUUUACAAGCCCUUAACCAACAAUGCAGUUAAGAAACUAUUUACUAAAACUCAAUAAAAUAAACAAUAACGAGGCUAUAUACAGGGGUACCGGUACAGAGUAGGGUACUUUCUAAAUGUAAUCCGUUAGUUACCUGUCCAAUUUUUUUUAUCAGUAACGUAACCUUUGAUUACCCAAACUCAGUAAUGUAAUCUGAUUCCAUUCCGUUACUUUUAGAUUACUUUCCCCUUAAGAGGCAUUAGAAGAAAACAAAAAUGUAUGUUAACAAUUGAACGACAUCUAUUGCAGGAUAAAUCUGUUAGUUUCCAGUGGCCAAAAAUGGAUGUUACAUUUUAUGGGGUGGUUAUGUAGGCUUCUUCUAACCCAUAGCUUUCUAGUACAUAUAAUAAUACGAUUAAAUUAUUUUUACAUUAAAAACCAAAGUCUAACAAAAUGUCAGUAAUUCCAAGUCCUAUGGAUUUUUUUAUCAGCAUAAAUUAGAUUGAUCAAUAAAAGCCCCACUUACUCCAUAGGCUUGGAUCCACGCUAUGCAGCUGUUGCAAGAGCACAUUUUUCACUGGCUGCCCACUGGUUUCAAAAACAAUGAUUGAUAGGCAGCUUAAACUUCUUGAAUUCAACCAUUUAGAUUUGUGAACAGCUAUCCACAGCAACCACAAUCCAUAAGGCGCAAAUAGCUAAAUCAGAGAGCAGCAGUGUGAUUCACUUCACAUCAAUGCGCUAUGUAGAUAUCAAUAAGUGAUACCCGUAUCACCAUAGACUACGCCACUGCUGCCAUCCUAACCUCCAAGCAUUUAUUCAAGGUGAAUAAUCUUUGGAUGCUGCACCAUUGGAAGACAGCUUGGACUGUAGCCUACAAAAAAUGUAUAUUCCUGCUCUUUACCCACGAUCCAUUAAGCACAUUUGGUAUCAUCAUAGUGGUCUCUGACUUGUGGCCAGACUCGUUCAGGUGGAACAAACUUAAACUUGAGCCUUUUUCCAAUGCUCAUUUGCAUUGGGGGUACAGACACAAUUCCAAAGUGUGGGUGAUGGACAUCAUUUUCAUGUCAGACAUUCUCUCACACACACAAAUUAACUUGCUCAAAUCAAUCAUGUAGAACUAGGGGUCGACUUGUCAAAAGUUACCAAGGAGGAUGGUAGUUACGUUAUUGGGGAGCGGUAUACAUGUGUCGGUCUUGUUCCACCAGGCUACCUCACCCAACCCCCCACCACAAAUUAUAUGUUCAACAACUACAUUCACAAUGCUAUGUUUUACAUGUUCUUAAACAGGUGCAGAUGUCCUUGUUUUGAGACCAAGAGUGACUUUGGAAGAAGCCCCCCAAGACUGCUGAAGAACACACACAUGCUGUACACAGUGUCGUCGUUGUCAGUGUCGCUUCGACAUUAGGACCUGGCCACUGUCAAGCUGGCCCUGAUGAUUGCAAACACUGGCAAAGAGUUCCAAAAUUAAAUGAAUGUAGCAAACUGAUACUGUAGCCACAAUAUGCA
ensembl:lncRNA